UACGGGGGGAGCAAGCGUUGUUCGGAUUUACUGGGCGUAAAGGGCGCGUAGGCGGUCGUGACAAGUCACUUGUGAAAUCUCCGAGCUUAACUCGGAAAGGUCAACUGAUACUGUGCGGCUAGAGUGCGGAAGGGGCAACUGGAAUUCUUGGUGUAGCGGUGAAAUGCGUAGAUAUCAAGAGGAACACCUGCGGCGAAGGCGGGUUGCUGGGCUGACACUGACGCUGAGGCGCGAAAGCUAGGGGAGCGAACGGG
rnacentral:rRNA from 1 species